UACGUAGGGCGCAAGCGUUUGUCCGGAAUUAUUGGGCGUAAAGAGCUCGUAGGCGGUUUGUCGCGUCUGCUGUGAAAACCUAAGGCUCAACCUUGGGCUUGCAGUGGGUACGGGCAGACUAGAGUGCGGUAGGGGUGACUGGAAUUCCUGGUGUAGCGGUGGAAUGCGCAGAUAUCAGGAGGAACACCGAUGGCGAAGGCAGGUCACUGGGCCGCAACUGGACG
rnacentral:rRNA from 1 species